rnacentral:rRNA from 1 species
GGGUUUNGAUACCUNGUGCCGCCGUUAACACAAUANUACCCCGCUUGGGGAGUACGGUCGCAAGAUUAAAACUCAAAGGAAUUGACGGGGCCCGCACAAGCAGCGGAGCAUGUGGUUUAAUUCGAAGCAACGCGAAGAACCUUACCUAGACUUGACAUCUCCUGCAUUACCCUUAAUCGGGGAAGUCCCUUCGGGGACAGGAAGACAGGUGGUGCAUGGUUGUCGUCAGCUCGUGUCGUGAGAUGUUGGGUUAAGUCCCGCAACGAGCGCAACCCUUAUUGUUAGUUGCUACCAUUUAGUUGAGCACUCUAGCGAGACUGCCCGGGUUAACCGGGAGGAAGGUGGGGAUGACGUCAAAUCAUCAUGCCCCUUAUGUCUAGGGCUACACACGUGCUACAAUGGUGAGUACAAAAAGAUGCAAGACCGUGAGGUGGAGCCAAACUUUUAAAACUCAUCCCAGUUCGGAUUGUAGGCUGAAACUCGCCUACAUGAAGCCGGAGUUGCUAGUAAUCGCGAAUCAGCAUGUCGCGGUGAAUACGUUCCCGGGCCUUGUACACACCGCCCGUCACACCAUGAGAGUUGGCAAUACCCGAAGUCCGUGAGGUAACCGUAAGGAGCCAGCGGCCGAAGGUAGGGUCAGCGAUUGGGGUGAAGUCGUAACAAGGUAGCCGUA